AUGAAUGAGAGGUCUGGCACAGCUGUGGUGAGAAGCCUUCUGUUACUGGCCUGGCAUGGGAAAGGCAGAAAGAGUCGAGGAUCUGAAGGUGUGGAAACAGGAAGACUUCUGUGGUCCAGAGUUCCAAGACCUUCUGAUGAAGCGUGUGUCAGAAUUCUGUCCUGGCCUCUUACUUCUUACUGGAGAAUUGAAGCAAAGAUCCUCACACUUCUCAGCGGGCCUUUGCAGCUGGGGAUUGUGACCAGUGUACCAGCUGUCACCAGAACUGGCCAGAUGAAGGCAGAAAGGAAGAGACAGUGCUACAUUGACUUCAGACUCUGCUCAGUUGCUUUCAGUCUCAGUUAA
rnacentral:lncRNA from 1 species